rnacentral:lncRNA from 1 species
AUCACUAUUGACAACCACCGUCACUAUCAACUACUACGUAUUAUCAGUCCCCAUUACACCUACCACCUUUCAUCAUUAUAGCACACAUUGUCGUCACCAUCAUCGCCACUUCCACGAUCAUUAUCAUUCAUUAGUACCACCACUGAGGUCAAUCCAUAUAACAACCACAUUCACCAUCACAACUAGCACUGCCAAUAACUAUCACCAACACAUCCUUCAGACACUACCAUCAACAUCGCCAACUACUAACAUUAACCACCUUCACCAUCUCAAUCACCACUACCAUAUACCAACCGUGACCAUCACGUCAAUCACUACAACACCAACUACCUCCACCUUUAUAAAUAUCACUAGCACCAUUGCUAACUAC